GAAGUGGCCGUGGGUUCCCAUUCUGACACAUGAGAGGGAAGAGAAGCUGACACUGCCUCUCCCUCACUUCCUGCCUAGAAUGUGGAAGUGAUGCUCAGUGCAAACCAAGUUAUGAAAGAGCAGAGGGAGCAGAAAGGGAAGAGUCUCUUCACAGAGAAGAUCAGAGAGACCAGGAGGAGGCCACAUGGCCUCUGAGAGAAGCCGGGGUGAGACCGAGGCCUGGAGCAGCCCAGACUUGUCACGCCAUCUUCUGGAACAUCACCCUGACUCCCCAAACCCUGAGCUCCAGCCCGAGUAUCUUGCGACUCCGUUACCUGCCGUCACGGUCGGAGGUGCCUGUUCUGGCCAAGGUGUUCCGUGCGCCCGACAAGACUGUUUGAACUAGGUUGGCAUCUGUCACGGUACAAAGCGUCCCUCCCGUUCUGGCCUGCCCCACACGGUGAAACCUUUCUACGUGGUGCUCAAAGAACCAGGACGUAUGUCUUCAGCUGAUGAACUCUUGCCCUUGAGCCUCACAGCAUCACGGGACCACUGAGGCCUCAGCUGUGACCAGAGCCAAGCGUGGAGUCACGUUCCCGCAUGUCAUAGCCAGCUUGUGGGAAAGGAGACAUUGGGCCUCAGACCGCUAUAGUCAUAGUUUAUCUAUGAAAUGAUUUUCCCAAAAAUCAUGUAGAAUUGCUCCUGACAGGCCACAAUGUCAUAACUACUCACCCAAAUGCCAACAGGGAUUACUUCUGAUGAGGGAAGAAGAGAAGAAAUCAGGAUGGCUGAAGAGAGUUUUCCCUUUAUCUAUAAGAUAUUAUUAAAUAUAUUCAUUCAUCAUUAAAUCUCAUUCCCCCGAGGCUCUGGGGGCCUAGAUACACCAAUGCAAAACUCUGUG
rnacentral:lncRNA from 1 species